rnacentral:rRNA from 1 species
UACGUAGGGUCCGAGCGUUGUCCGGAAUUAUUGGGCGUAAAGGGCUCGUAGGCGGUUUGUCGCGUCGGGAGUGAAAACACGGGGCUUAACCCCGUGCCUGCUUCCGAUACGGGCAGACUAGAGGUAUGCAGGGGAGAACGGAAUUCCUGGUGUAGCGGUGAAAUGCGUAGAUAUCGGAAGGAACGCCGGUGGCGAAAGCGACGCACUGGACCUCUUCUGACGCUGAGGCGCGAAAGCCAGGGGAGCGAACGGG